rnacentral:misc_RNA from 1 species
AACUUUUGACAAUGGAUCUCUUGGCUCUGGCAUCGAUGAAGAACGCAGCGAAACGCGAUAUGUAAUGUGAAUUGCAGACUUUAGUGAAUCAUCGAAUCUUUGAACGCACAUUGCGCCCCGUGGUAUUCCGCGGGGCAUACCUGUUCGAGCGUCAUUACAACCUCUCCAGCUCCGCUGGGUCUUGGGGCUUGCCUUCCCGGCAUCCCUUAAAACUAGAUGCGGCGCCGCGUGGCUCUAAGCGUAGUACUUUUCUCGCUUCUGGGUUCGCUGUGGUGCCUGCUACAUAACCCCAACUUUCUAUGGUUGACCUCGAAUCAGGUAGGGAUACCCGCUGAACUUAAGCAUAUCAAUAAGCGGAGGCU